AUCUAGCUGACAAGUUCCAAUAGGACGAAAUGUGUAUCCUGGAU
rnacentral:hammerhead_ribozyme from 1 species